GCACACGGCCUAGCAUAUAUAUUAAAAUUGGAUGAUACAAAGUAGAUUAGCAUGCCUCCUGUGAGAGGAUGACAUGCUGAAAUGGAAAUUCGUGCUCCAUAUUUUU
ensembl:snRNA U6 U6 spliceosomal RNA